UCCACCAUACAGUCACAAGCUGUAUCUGUGACAGUCCCUUUGAAAUUCAGGCUGAUAAACAGAAUAAUCUUUUCUAGAGGAGGAAAAAGGAGUGAAGGUUCAGUGCCCUGUGACUUAGAAGGUUCAGAUUUCUAAACCUUGAAACUGAAUUCCCUAAAGCUAUCAUCUUCCCAAACAACACAACUUCAGAACUAAUGGAAUUAUUCUGAAUAUUCUUUUUCCUCCCAUAGACAUUUCCUCUACUUCUGCUUUGUUUUUUAGUUGAAGGUACUAUGACCAAAGAAUCAGCUGCUCUGCAUGAAUAGCAUGGUCCAAGUGGAUUAAAGAAAACCUGCUAUAAAACCAUGGUAUUUCUAGUGAUAUAUUGUUAGGAUGUACUCACAUUUAGUUACAUGAUUAUUGAUUAAUGUUUACUUCCCCUAUUCAAGUGUCCAUAUUUGUUGGUGUACAGAAAAGAGUAACCCCUCUGUAUGGUUGUAGUUACUUGCUUCAUGAUAUUUUACUACACCUUUGAAAAACUUACUCUGUCCUCUAUUGUGUAGGUAAAGGCAAUGUCUGAAUUUAUGUUUCAGAACUAUGAAACACAUUAGUCACCAACAUAGCCCAUAUACCUGAGUCAUUUUGGUAGCUUCUUAUCAAAUCUAAGGUUUCCAUAAGCAAGUUGUCUUUCUUCCUGAAAUCAGAGUUAUCAGUGUUUGUUUUCUGCCUAAAUAUUUAUCCUAGUUGAGGAGAAAGAGAGGUACUUAGACCACAUGACCUAUGAGCUUCAGUAACUGAAGAAAAGUUGACAUCCCUGACUAGCUUGAAUGUGUUUACCCACAGUGUGUAUCUAUGUAUAUAGAAUGUUUAUGUAUAUUUUUCUUAGCGUGUAUAAUGCAUAUUGAAUGGUACCUUGCUGCAGUAUUUCUGAUGUUUAGAGUAGUCUUAAAAUACUCAGUUAGCAUCAGCACCACCAUAGCACUGGUCCUGUUAUGGGACUUAUUAACAUUAACUUCAGAGACUCUCAGACAUGCUAAUGGAUAGUCAGAUGACAAGAUGACAAGGGCACUUUUGAAGCAGCAGUUAACAACAACUUUAAGGUUCUUUUGUGGGCCAGGAUCCCAGACUGCCAGUCGCUGGUCAUGUGAUACUGUCCAUCUACAGGAGAUGGGCUGAAAACACCUCUGGGAGAAAGAUGUCUGCUGUCAGUGUGUGUUGCAGGCCAAGACUUAUCCUAGGGCAGGAAAUAGUCUCUGAUUCAACUGGCUUCUGAGGGUCUGGUCCAUAGACAGCCACUUUUUCUGUUGUGAUCAUUUCUUCUCAAUGGUAUAUAGUCGAAAGAAAUGGAAGGUGUUUCCUUUCGGAGGUAUGUUUAACCUUGUACAAUUCACGGUACUGAGGAGUUGUCCUCCUCCUGCCUUUCUGAAGGUACUCCUCCACACCCCUUUCCACCUCACUCCUCAUCCCUGCCUCGUAGCCCAGGGACCUUGGGAUUUCUCUCCAUGUGGAAAACCAUCAUUCUUUUUCAUACAUAUACUUUCAAUAUUAAUUUUUAGUGUAGGAAAUCUUGAUAACUCAUCAAAAUACCUUGUUACAAAUUGACCAAAGAAGUGGCCCAUGUAUAAAAUCCUUGUGUAUUUUGGGGUUUGCCACCACUUCACAUACUGGCUUUUGCAUGGAGGUAUCAUGUACUUGUCAUCAAUCAAACUGAGUUACUAGCAUAUAGAGUCUUUCCAGACCAUAGACAUUUCUGAAAUACAGAUUUCUUUAACCAGUUACUUAAGUCUUAGCAUUGUCUAAUUAAACCAAGCAAUAUUUUUGUGCAUUUUAAAUUAAUCUCAGUAAAAUCAACAGGUGGGUGAGUCCUCUGGUUGCAGUCAUUCCUAGAGGAUAUGGAACUUCUUCUAUUGCUCUUGGGUAAAGCGAGCUUUCUCACACGGCAGUCUUGUGCUGUCUGCAAGACCCUAGAUGCUUCUCCCACUGGCAUCCUAAUCCAGGAGGUGAGGACUGUUUCCUAUGUAGAAAUGAUACUAGGAAAUUAAUUCUGGAAGAGGAAAUUCUGGCUGACUUUUCAAAGACCAGCUAGGUUUGUAUUUUACCAUGUGGCCAGACCACUGAACUUCUAAAGUUGGGGGAGAAUUGCAUAACUAACAGAGAAAGAGGACUUUUGCUGCGUAAGUACUAAGUUACACAGAGUUUUUGGCUGUCUUUGCCCACUCCCCACAAAGGCCCAAGAAGUUGUUCUUAGAUAAAGCACAGCCCUGCUUUGCCCUGAACUGUGCCUCUUUUCUGCCCUUUUCCCCCUAAUCAUUGACAAUGGGAAGAAAACUUUCUAGAAAUCAGCUUCUCCCUUGUCUUCUUGCCAAGACCUUUUUCAGUUCAGUUGAUUAUCCUUAGAAAUUGAAUUCUUUGGCAUUUUUCCUUGUAAUAUCACUUAUUUCACUCAGCCUCAGUUCACAGUAAGUUUCUAAUGUAUGCAGGUCCAAAUCUCUAGUUUUAGUUCUUAUGGACUCAGCAUAAGUUUUUAGCAGGUCCAUAGCCACUUUCCUCAAUUUUAGCAGAGAAUGAUCCCUUUACUUUUUUAAACAAUGGAAUUUUGUUUUCAGUUGUAAAACUAGCACUGUAAACCAAAAAACCAAUGUGGCAUCCUAACACUUGUUUUUAAAAAUAGAGUCCACUUUAUGAAUGAUAGUGCAACUUUGAACUUAAUAGUAUCCGCCUAAAUAGAUUAGUGAGUUUUGUGAGCAAAUGAGCCUCUGGGCCUACCUUUCUCCAAACCUUUCUACCCUUUUAAUCCAGGCCAGGCCACUGGUCUCUUUCAAGGUCAGCAGAUCUCUCCCUCCACCAGUCUUUUAACAUCUUACACCAUCAAAUCAUCCAAAGAUUGUAGAGAUAACCACAGUGUAAUCCUGUGAUCAGUUAUUGGUAGAGAUACAGAGGUACUUUGUCACUGCUUUUCUUUUUGGAUUCCUUUUCCGUCUCUUCCUCUUAAAAGAAGAACUGAAGUCCAAGGUCACCCUCCUUUUAUACCUACAGUAUCCAACCCAAGCCAGGCAACCUUCUGCUUAGGACAGUAAUUGGGCCAUUGCAUGCAGAGAGAAUGUCUUCAGAGAAUGUCAGUAAAUACUUGAAUCUUCAUGACAGUUUGUUGACUUGAAUGCAACAGCAAGAAAUAUGGCAAGUUAAUUGUAUAUACAAUAGGUUUCCUUAGGUCUCUUGGCUCAUCCUUUGUAAUUUAUGUGUGUAUCUGUUGUAUUGUAGGCUUUUGGAAAUAUUCGUAGACAGUAACGUCGGAUGUGAAAGAUAGCGCUUUCUGUUGCGUGCCAAUUUUGUAUUCGUGGGUAUUUAUAGUUGUAUGUAUGUAUAUGCAUCAAUGUGUAGAUUGUGUAUCAGUAUAUGGUAUAUGUACAUCAAAGUUAUUUUGUCUUUAAUAACCAGUGUGAUAGGAAAAGCAAGUAAAAACCUCCUAGGACUGAUUAUAUAAUGCAGUUGUUGCAAAUACAUAUAGUGGUAUUGUUUUAUUUGACUUAAAUUCAAAUGAUAUUUUGAUUAACUUUUAAUAAAAUUUUGUGCUAGGAAAUUCCAUCUGUGAGGUGUGAAUCUCCAGGGCAAAGGUGACUUUGAACUAAAUCAUGUGAAUCUGUUGAAGUGUACAGUCUGCAAUACUGAGGGGUUAGCUCAUUAUAAUUUUGGAAAUACAGAAAGGAAAUGGGGGAAAAAAGGCAACCUGUGCCAUUUUAGUAACUUUAAUAUUAAGAGCACUUAAACAUAAAGUUGAACUGACAGUUGUGGGCUUAUUACAAAAUGUGAUGCUCACAGCGCACAUUCUUUAUUGUUGUAAUUAGUCCAGAAUAUAUAGCUUUCAGAAGCAUUAAGUAAGUUGCCACCAUAUAAUUUAUGUACCUAUGUAUAUUUUACAGUGGCUCAAACCACUCUCCUGGUGCCACAUCCUUACCCUCUUGAAAGAAAUAUCACAAAUGCUAAAGUAUAUCAGGGCAUCCCAAGAUUGGGUACUGUAUUCCAGGUGUGCAGUUGCACAAAUUAGCAACUGGGUCACAGGUAAAAGGACUCUAGGAACCAGGUUAAAACUUUAUUUAAUAUUUUUAUACUUAGGUCUCUUUUUCCUGCCUCUUCCCAAAGAAGAGCCACUGGCCUUAGUUGUUUGACUUGAUUGCUUAUAUUAUAGAGUGUAAAUAGAUAACUAGAGACUAAAAUUUUAUUAACCAGCAUGUUUGGUGUAUUUAAAGCAGCGACUGAGUGUGUUUGAGUGUGUGGUUGAGUGCAGUGUCUUUUGUUCAAACACACUGCCUCAUGUCUUUGUAUCUGAUUCAGAGAAUUGGAAUUGUGGGGUAGGAGUCUAAUCUUCAACCCCAGUCUGCAGUAGUGUCUUGGUAGUUACACUUAGUUUUUUUAAUUAACUCUACAGUCUCAAACUAUUUUUGCAAAUAUAUAUAAUAUUUCCUAAUUUGUUCUUGACGUGCAGAGGACUGACUCUGUAGAUGAUCAGCAAGAUCUGCAAGAGUAUUUCUAGUUCUGCAAGAGUAUUUCCUUCUGAGAAUUAUUUGUGAUUUGCAAAAAAAGAAAAAGCCUUUUGAUUCAGAAAUCAUAUGGAAAAAGAGUAGUGAAAAUAAAAGUUUUAUUUUGGGCCUUAGUCAUUCGAAAUGUUUGGAUUUUAAUAAAAAGCCAUGAAGGCUGUAAAGCCAAAUAACCAUUUGACAUGGAUAUUAAUAUCUACUUUAGAAAGAGUGUGUGUGUAUAUAUAUAUAUAUAUAUAUAUGCACAUUGAUUUUUAAUGCCAUUAAAAUGCUUUUUUAAAGCUAUAGGAACAAGAGUAAUUAGACCAAAUUGAAGUGGAGGGGUUGAGUAGGCUGCCUACCACUUAAGCUAAGCAGUGAAUGUGUUCAGUCCUCUGCUCCUAAGAAAUUCAGAACCAGUUUACUGGCCCUUAAAGGUGUAGGGAGAAAGUUGAUGAGUCUGGGCCCUCUUCUGUAUACACUUGCUUGCACACAUGCACACAGUCAGUGUUUAAAGUUAUACAAAUGUAAGACCUUAAGACACAAAGGGCCGAAGUAUUAUAAAGAGAUGAUGAACAAAUGAGGAGAAUCUAUGUCACAGAUGUUUUCUAAGGACCGAGGAGAAAUUGGGGCUCUUUUGUCUGACUCUGAGAUGCAUUGCAUUGUUAAAAAGGAGCAGGGGUUACCUGUCACAUCCUUCCUGGUGGGCCACAACUUGAAGGUGUUCUUGUAGUUCACAAGCAGCAGCUCUCCAUCAUCUCCCAGUACCUCGGUAGCCUGGGGGAAGAUCCAGAAAACUGGCAUGCACCAUUUUCCAAGGUACCCAAGCCACUUGCUCUACAGGUCGUUCCUUUAAGAAAGGACCAGCAGUGGACAAGCACUUUUCCACAGAAGUGCACAUGACCUUCUGAGCUGUACUGAUGAGAGCUCACACUGAAGAAGGAUGCUGGGUAUUUGAGCACUUUUCCAUCAGCAAGGACAGUGAGGAGAGAACCUAGUGAAAAUAGCAAUUCCCUUUGCAGGGUAGAGAGCUAAGCGCUCACUAAUAGUGUUAUAAAAUAAGCACCUUAACUUCAAUUCCUGAAAAGAUUGGCUAAUGGAGAGAAUUUUGGAGAUUCACCUAAGAUUUUCCCUUGGUCUCCAAGUUCAACCACUCUUAGGAGUCUCAGCCACAAGGCUCAGUGAAGGACCAUGGUGCAGGUUUGAGGCUCACUGUUGUGAACCUGAAUAGCAGAGCACCACAGAGGGAGAUAAUGUCCCCUCUAUGGAGCUUCUCCCCUGGCCUUCCGCUCCACUUGGACUUCUACUGAGCAGCACAUCCUGGGUUUCAAAUGCUUUAGGAAUCCAGCUGUCCCAAUGGGUUGACCCGGCUGAAGGCAAGACACCAACUCUGAGAGUGACUGAGUCACUCAGGGUGGCACAUGAUAAAGGUAAUGAAAAAAUCCUCUGCCUGAAGCAAAGAUCACAGAUUUUGCCUUUGCAAGAAACAAACCAGUACCUUGAGCUCUAACCAGGGUUGGAUGAUAUCUUUGCCUUCACACCUAGAUUUCCAGAAAUGAACAUUGUUUCAUUUCUGUGGGAAGGGUCAAGAAUCAUUAACUUGCUCAGCCAUUCUGCUCUGGCCAGAUGAGAGCUGUUGGGUAAAGGCCUGCAUGCCUCCCUGCACCCUCUUCUACCUCAAGUUUCAGAAGCCCAUUUCUAGAACAGAAAUUUACACAAGUGGAGAACCCACAUUGUUAGCCUUGGUUACUCUGGGACAUGCAGAAGGGUGGUAAUUUGUAUCUUCUAAUAUAAAACAAGACUUACUUUUCCAACCUAUUAACUGGAUUGUAUUCACUGUGGCUCAAACCAGUUGACAGUGUGGAGCAUUCCUUUACCUCCAGAGUUUUCUCCUCCAAUCAUUUCAGUUCCAUUGCAGUCCUGGUGCCAUAUGUCCCCUGCAAAUUGUGAAAGUAAUUAGUGACAAACUAGCAGCCUACUCCUUUUUAGUGGCCAAACUGUCAGCAUCAGCAGACUUGGGUAAGCUAAGCUAGUGGUGCCGUAUUAUGUACUAGAAACCUGUUCCUCAUUAUCAUGUACCAGAUUUGAGAAAUGCCAUCUAGAAAAUCUUGGCAUUUAUGGUGGUCCUCUUUUGGAUGGAACAGUAAUUUAUGUGGAUAUUGUUAAAGUGUUUAAAGACUAUUUUGAAAAUUAAGUUUACAUUUUACAAUUGCUUUAUUUUUAUUAAAAUAGUGUAUAUAAAUAUUACCCUAUUUCACUGUUAUUAAAGUAAAACUAACCCUUGUAGACAAGUGAGUCACCUGACAUGUAUAGAAGCUGUGAUAUACAUAGUACAUUUCUCUAUUAUGUAAAUGUUAAAUGAAUAUAACUGUUCCUGUGUUUUUAUAAGUUGAGGGUAUUUUGUUGUUUCAUAACAACAAAAAUUAUCACAUUUAAAAUGGUUUUUAUGUAAUAGAAAUCAUGCAAAAUAGUGAAGGAUUUAAAAUAUGUAUAUGGUAUAUGUUAAAUGUACAAACUUUAGAAAGAAAUAAAUCCAACAAAUUUCAGUCAUUUGGGGGAAUGUUUUUCUUUGUUUAUUUAAGCAACUAGAACAAUAUCUUUAAAAAUAAAUAACCCAACACCCUAACCCCCCUCCAUGAAAAGGCAACCAGGAUACCCAAGGUGAAAGAUUUGGUCACUGUAACUGACUGAGGAGGUAAGGAAGUUAACUUGUGAACACUGAUUCACCUCCUGGACUUCCGUGAAGAUUUGUGUGUGCAAAAAAAAAAAAUGUUGGUAGGUACUAGUAGAAACUUCAGAGGCUUGUCCUGAUGGGGGAAGGAGGCUUUGAGCAGAGGAAGAACAAAUGAACUUUUUGAGGCAAUUUCAAGAAUCAUUUGCUUUCCCUUUGGAAACCAUGGAAUUAAUUAUUGUCCUGCAGUGCAAAUGCUGACCUCCAAAUCACUGCUUUCUUGUGGCUAGUGUGUACCUUUGUGUUCUCUUAAUGGAACCUAAUGUUAAAUUAAGAUCUGUUGACUUGGAAAAUGAAAAAUAA
rnacentral:lncRNA from 1 species